rnacentral:tRNA from 1 species
GGAUGCGUGCCCGAACAUCUAAGGAUUACUUUGAUAGAGUAAACUAUAGGGGCUAAAUCCCCCUCGCCUCC